rnacentral:rRNA from 1 species
AUUGAACGCUGGCGGCAUGCCUAACACAUGCAAGUCGAACGGCAGCACGGUCUAGCUUGCUAGAUGGGUGGCGAGUGGCGCACGGGUGAGUAACGCGUAGGAAUAUGCCUUGAAGUGGGGGAUAACUUGGGGAAACUCAAGCUAAUACCGCAUAAGCUCUUAGGAGGAAAGCUGGGGACCGUAAGGCCUGGCGCUUCAAGAUUAGCCUGCGUCCGAUUAGCUAGUUGGUGGGGUAAGGGCCUACCAAGGCGACGAUCGGUAGCUGGUCUGAGAGGAUGGCCAGCCACACUGGGACUGAGACACGGCCCAGACUCCUACGGGAGGCAGCAGUGGGGAAUAUUGGACAAUGGGGGCAACCCUGAUCCAGCAAUGCCGCGUGUGUGAAGAAGGCCUGAGGGUUGUAAAGCACUUUCAGUGGGGAGGAGGAUUGACAGGUUAAGAGCUAGUUAAUUGGACGUUACCCACAGAAGAAGCACCGGCUAACUCCGUGCCAGCAGCCGCGGUAA